GAUGAAGAACGUAGCGAAAUGCGAUAAGUAAUGCGAAUUGCAGAAUUCAGUGAAUCAUCGAAUCUUUGAACGCACAUUGCGCCCGCUAGUAUUCUGGCGGGCAUGCCUGUCUGAGCGUCAUUUCAACCCUCGCCCCCGGCUUUUGCUGGGAGCGGUGUUGGGGAUCGGCCGCCCGUCACUGGGAGGCCGGCCCCGAAAUAGAGUGGCGACCACGCCGUGGGCUCCUCUGCGUAGUAGUAAAUCACCUCGCAGGCGGACAGCGGUGCGGCCUGCCGUAAAACCCCCAACUCUUUCUGGUUGACCUCAGAUCAGGUAGGAAUACCCGCUGAACUUAAGCAUAUCAAUAAGCGGAGGA
rnacentral:misc_RNA from 1 species